AUUGAACGCUGGCGGCAGGCCUAACACAUGCAAGUCGAGCGGAUGAAGAGUGCUUGCUUCCGGAUUCGGCGGGCGACGGGCGGGUGAGUCCUGGGUAUAUGCCUGGCUGUUGGGGAUAGCGUCCUGACACGGGCGAAAUUACCCCAUACCUCCAGAGGACGAACGUGUGAGAUCAUCGGACCUUACGCUAUUAGGUGAGCCUAGGUCGGAUUAGCUAGUUGGUGGGGUAAAGGCCUACCAAGGCGACGAUCCGUAACUGGUCUGAGAGGAUGAUCAGUCACACUGGAACUGAGACACGGUCCAGACUCCUACGGGAGGCAGCAGUGGGGAAUAUUGGACAAUGGGCGAAAGCCUGAUCCAGCCAUGCCGCGUGUGUGAAGAAGGUCUUCGGAUUGUAAAGCACUUUUGGUUGGGAAGAAAGGCAGUAAGUUAAUACCGCGCUGUUUUGACGGUACCAAAAGAAUAAGCACCGGCUAACUUCGUG
rnacentral:rRNA from 1 species